UACGUAGGGUGCGAGCGUUAAUCGGAAUUACUGGGCGUAAAGCGUGCGCAGGCGGUUCGGUAUGUCCGAUGUGAAAGCCCCGAGCUCAACUUGGGAAUGGCAGUGGAAACUGGCGGGCUGGAGUGUGGCAGAGGGGGGUGGAAUUCCACGUGUAGCAGUGAAAUGCGUAGAGAUGUGGAGGAACACCGAUGGCGAAGGCAGCCCCCUGGGCCAACACUGACGCUCAGGCACGAAAGCGUGGGGAGCAAACAGG
rnacentral:rRNA from 1 species